AGCUUUUCCGCUGUUACCAGUUUGUCGGCGGACUUGAGACCAAGUGGCGUUGACCGCGACAAUGGGGUUCGAAUUUGGUGAAGAUCAGUUACAGGAAAAAAGGUGACGGUGGAUGCAAUGUGACUCCUGAUUAGUUGCUCUGGCAACCUCAGGGUACGUUCGCUGGUGGCCAUGGCAACGGCUGAAGCAUGGCGAUGGAGCCCGGCAGAUUAUUUAAAUUUAACAGGAAUGAGAAUACGGAGGCGGAUUGGCAAACCACAACGUCAUCACAGAGAAGAUGUCGCUUGUCAAUAAAACUGAAGCAUAACUGG